GGACCUCCAAUCAAGCAGGGCUACC
rnacentral:rRNA from 1 species